UGAUCCUGGCUCAGAUUGAACGCUGGCGGCAGGCCUAACACAUGCAAGUCGAACGGUAACAUUUAUAGCUUGCUAUAAGAUGACGAGUGGCGGACGGGUGAGUAAUGCUUAGGAACUUGCCUUUUGGUGGGGGAUAACAGUUGGAAACGACUGCUAAUACCGCAUAAUGUCUUUGGACCAAAGGGGGCUUCGGCUCUCACCAAGAGAGAGGCCUAAGUGAGAUUAGUUAGUUGGUGGGGUAAAGGCUUACCAAGACGACGAUCUCUAGCUGUUCUGAGAGGAAGAUCAGCCACACUGGGACUGAGACACGGCCCAGACUCCUACGGGAGGCAGCAGUGGGGAAUAUUGCACAAUGGGGGGAACCCUGAUGCAGCCAUGCCGCGUGUGUGAAGAAGGCCUUCGGGUUGUAAAGCACUUUCAGUUGUGAGGAAAGGUUGGUAGUUAAUAUCUGCCAGCUGUGACGUUAACAACAGAAGAAGCACCGGCUAACUCCGUGCCAGCAGCCGCGGUAAUACGGAGGGUGCGAGCGUUAAUCGGAAUUACUGGGCGUAAAGCGCACGCAGGCGGUUUGUUAAGCGAGAUGUGAAAGCCCCGGGCUCAACCUGGGAGGGUCAUUUCGAACUGGCAGACUAGAGUUUUGGAGAGGGGAGUGGAAUUCCAGGUGUAGCGGUGAAAUGCGUAGAUAUCUGGAGGAACAUCAGUGGCGAAGGCGACUCCCUGGUCAAAGACUGACGCUCAUGUGCGAAAGUGUGGGUAGCGAACAGGAUUAGAUACCCUGGUAGU
rnacentral:rRNA from 1 species